UACGUAGGGUGCGAGCGUUAAUCGGAAUUACUGGGCGUAAAGCGUGCGCAGGCGGUCUGUUAAGACCGAUGUGAAAUCCCCGGGCUCAACCUGGGAACUGCAUUGGUGACUGGCAGGCUUUGAGUGUGGCAGAGGGGGGUAGAAUUCCACGUGUAGCAGUGAAAUGCGUAGAGAUGUGGAGGAAUACCGAUGGCGAAGGCAGCCCCCUGGGCCAACACUGACGCUCAUGCACGAAAGCGUGGGGAGCAAACAGG
rnacentral:rRNA from 1 species